CACUACUUUAGGUCAGCCCACUCCCGAACGGCUCCCUAUUCCCUAUUAUAGUGCACUACUUUAGGUCAGCCCACUCCCGAACGGCUCCCUAUUCCCUAUCAUGGCAUCUGAACAGACACAAACUAAGAGGUCAGCCCACUCCCGAACGGCUCCCUAUUCCCUAUUAUAGUGCACUACUUUAGGUCAGCCCACUCCCGAACGGCUCCCUAUUCCCUAUUAUAGUGCACUACUUUAGGUCAGCCCACUCCCGAACGGCUCCCUAUUCCCUAUUAUAGUGCACUACUUUAGGUCAGCCCACUCCCGAACGGCUCCCUAUUCCCUAUUAUAGUGCACUACUUUAGGUCAGCCCACUCCCGAACGGCUCCCUAUUCCCUAUUAUAGUGCACUACUUUAGGUCAGCCCACUCCCGAACGGCUCCCUAUUCCCUAUUAUAGUGCACUACUUCAGCCACUAUGUUUUAGGUGUUAAUCAGGUGUUUGUUGUGUCAUUUGUUAGAUAUUAGGUUCUGAUGAGGUGGCUGACCCUCUGGCCAAUAGUAGUGUUACCUAGGGAACAGGAUGGUGGCUGACCCUCUGGCCAGUAGUAGUGUUACCUAGGGAACAGGAUGGUGGCUGACCCUCUGGCCAGUAGUAGUGUUACCUAGGGAACAGGAUGGUGGCUGACCCUCUGGCCAGUAGUAGUGUUACCUAGGGAACAGGAUGGUGGCUGACCCUCUGGCCAGUAG